rnacentral:lncRNA from 1 species
UUUCCCAACUUCAAGAGCCGGAUCUCCUUGGAUAAAGCUUGUUUGUAAUCUUCACACGCAACAUCAGCUUUCCAGAUACCACAGACCACUUUUUCAAAGUGCUCUGACAGAGUUAAAACAUGUGAAGCUGGCAGCUCCCACUACCGUGCUAUGACCAAGCAGGGUAAAGGAAUAGCAUUACUACUUGUUGUUAGGGAGACUCCUAUAUAUGUCAACCUCCAUCCCCAACGGACAGGCAGACUUGCAAAAAUGCUCAACCCUUCCUCAUAUCUGAGAGGGCACUCCCAACGAAGCCUUUCGAAAUAUUCAGCUUUCUUUCCCCCCGAUAAUACCUCUGCAAACAAGCUAUACUAGAGCAAGAAUAUCUCAUAUCAUCAGGGUUAAAAGCAAGAGUAUCCCAUAUCAUGCUUUUUCCCUGUCUUUUCCUUUGGCCUUGUUCUUACCUGCAAGACAAGGAGAAAGAGAGCAAUCAGUCAGCACUUAGAAUCAAG